CCCGGGUGCCUCUUAUAGCUCGGCUCCAGGUUACAUCUCCCUGAGCAUGAGGACAGAUAAAGAGAUUCAGGAGCCUGAGGAACCAACAAACUGCUCUCUGACAGGAAGCAGCCUUCAGAGCUGCGUACGAACCUGAUGGACGGCUCUGCGAUGUGGUUUAAAAGAAAUGUCUUUACUUUAAAUAUUUGCAUUUUAUUCAUUUUGCUCCUGAAGGCGACAGACUUGAGUUUUCUGGACUUGUUGACCUGAUAAUAAAAAUUCUGAAUGCUU